GAAUGUGAAUAUCGUUGACUCUCAUGACAUGCCAUGUCUAUGGUCUUUUUCUGUGUUAUUUCAAGACCUUGACAUAUUUACUGGGUCACGGUGAUGGUUGAAAUUGCAAAGUAAUGCUUAUUAUUCACCUUAACAUAUGCUAUUAGAACUCCAGAUCUAUUUUAUUGUGGUAAUGCACUGCUACAUAAAUAAUAUAAAAGCACCCAGGCUACUGCUGGCAGGACAUGGGCAGGCAGGCCAGCCUAGCCUGUUCUCAUCUGGACUCUCUUACCCUGAGCUCAGUAUCUCCACUUGGCUCGCUUUGCAGGUCAUACCUGGAGUGUCAGAAUCAUGGAUGUGGUUUUCAAGAAGUGAGUGCAUUGCACUUGGAAGAGCUGUCCCUGCAGCUUGCUUGCGCAGCAUAGUAGAACUGGCGCUAAUGGCAGGGGCUCUAGUGAUCUGGCCCUGGAUGCAAAUGAGCUGUCCCUGCUCCUCACCUGAGCAGAGAUGAAGAACUGGCUUAGGUUUCCCAGGUGAAGGAGAUGUGGCCCUGCUGGCAUGAUGGUGGGAGAGCUGUCAAGCUCACCAACUCAGCUACCACCAAGACUUUGAAUUGGCCCAUGCAUACAUUUAUACCCAUCUUUAAAAUGUUGGAGAUUGUGAAAGGGCUGGUCCUCCAGAACCAAAGCUGUAAGAUCAUCACAACACUGGGCAGUAACAGGAUAUCAUAGAGAAGUAUUCAUAGUAUAGCAGAAGCCAGAGGGCUCAAAGCAGACCAAUGACUUACUGCAAUAAACAUCUGCAAAACACAAAAGAAA